UGGGGAAUUUUGGACAAUGGGGGCAACCCUGAUCCAGCCAUGCCGCGUGUGCGAAGAAGGCCUUCGGGUUGUAAAGCACUUUCGGCCGGAACGAAAUCGCGCGGGUGAACAUCCCGCGUGGAUGACGGUACCGGAAGAAGAAGCACCGGCUAACUACGUGCCAGCAGCCGCGGUAAUACGUAGGGUGCGAGCGUUAAUCGGAAUUACUGGGCGUAAAGCGUGCGCAGGCGGCGUCGCAAGUCAGGCGUGAAAGCCCCGGGCUUAACCUGGGAAUGGCGCUUGAAACUACGAUGCUGGAGUAUGGCAGAGGGAGGUGGAAUUCCACGUGUAGCGGUGAAAUGCGUAGAUAUGUGGAGGAACACCGAUGGCGAAGGCAGCCUCCUGGGCCAAUACUGACGCUCAUGCACGAAAGCGUGGGGAGCAAA
rnacentral:rRNA from 1 species